UCAGCCUGUAGGAACUCAUGGGUUUCAUGU
rnacentral:piRNA from 1 species